rnacentral:rRNA from 1 species
UACGUAGGUGGCAAGCGUUGUCCGGAUUUACUGGGCGUAAAGAGCGCACAGGCGGUCGUUCAAGUCGCGUGUGAAAGCCCCCGGCUCAACUGGGGAGGGUCACGCGAUACUGAUCGACUCGAAGGCAGGAGAGGGUAGUGGAAUUCCCGGUGUAGUGGUGAAAUGCGUAGAUAUCGGGAGGAACACCAGUGGCGAAGGCGACUACCUGGCCUGUUCUUGACGCUGAGGCGCGAAAGCUAGGGGAGCAAACGGG